GACAGUUCCCGCGGGAGCGUCAGCGACAGCCCAGACAGGCUGCCCUGCAGACACUCAGGCCUCAGGAACCGUGCCCCAGGUCAGCAGCCGCGACGGGCUCCCCUCCCCACACGCUCACACGCAGGACCAGUCCAGGAAGCUCAAAACCAGUGCCCAGAGCACCCAGCCCCUGACCAGCACACGUGGGCAUCAUGUGUCACGUGUAUGGUCCUUGGCCACUUCACGCGUGUACAAGCAGCAAGCAGCGGGGUCAAGACGGCCCUGUUUUCCGUCCUAUGACCAUCAUCUUAAGAACAUUCCAGAAGUGGAAUCGCAGGGCAGGCGGCCUUUGUGAUGGGCUCUUCUCCCUCAGGACACACCCGGCUGCAGGCCAGUGGGUGGACACACCGUGGACUCCAGCAGGUUCCAUCUGAGCCCACUGCCAGUGGCGGCCGUGUGCGCUGGGGCCAGACCCCCGAGAAGCCCACACGCGCCUCUGGGGUCCCCCCAAGAAGGAUGCCCGCCAGCUCUGUGCCUGGCACUGCCCCCAACACGGGGUGUGGCUGCCGUCCUCUCUGAAGCUCACUCAUCUCCAAGUCGGACGGGUCCACCUUUGUUUUCGCUGUUGCUGCUCCCACACGUGCAGGAGCUGUCACACGUGUGGUUCAGAGCUGUUUUCCCCACUCUAGCUUCUCAUCCUGCUGACAGCCUUCAGCACAGCAAAAACUGCUGAUUAAGUCCAAUUUACCCAUUUUCUCUGAUGGAUCAUGGUCCAGGUGUGAAGUUCAUGGCAAGGCCACUUUCCUUGCCCAGCGACUCUACGAAUGGCUUUGCACCGCUGUCUUCCGCUCCUCCAUCCUGCCCUGGGACCUGUGUGUCUGUCCUGACCACACCACACAGGGCUAAUUCCAGCAGCUAGAGUCCGCCACGGCCUGGUGGGCUGAACCGACCACUUGCCCUAACUCUCCGAUAAAUUCUACAGUGAGUCCAUCUGAAUUCUGGUGGGGACUGAGCUGACCCCUUGACCACUGCUGGAGAGCCUUCCCCUCACUGGUCUCUGGGAGGCGAGCUAGUCUCCCUGUUCACUGAGGCCUUCCCCGACCUCCCGCAUCCUGGGACCCUCUUCAACACACCCUGGGGCCUGAAAUGCUUUCCCAGGCAAACAGCACGCUGUCUGCACAUGGCCACACUGCCUGUCCCUUCUGCCCCUCUCCUACCUGCGUGCACUGCCAGGGUCAGCCCUGGAGAGCGUGCGGUCCUCCGAAACCCAGCGUGUGGCAGGCAGCAGGACUCAAGACGCGCCAGCUCAAGUCUACAGACUACGAGCCAACGGUCUGUCAAGAGUGCUCCCCACAGUGAGUUGGACUCCGGGGACACCUUUUCUGCACCGUGCUAUGAUCACACAGUUCCCCUCCAGAGCCAGUUAACAUGGACCAUGCCUGUGGGUUUGAGGAUGUUGAGCCAGCCAUGCCUUAUGGGACAAGCCCUGUCUGGCUGUGGCGAGCUCUUGCGCUGGCUUCUGUGAGCGAUGCUUCCCUGGGGUCUCUGGUUUUCUUCUGCAUUGUCUCCGUCUGGUUUUGGCAUCAGCCUCAUAAAAUCAACUGCAAAAUA